UUUCUGUUUUCAGUAUUUUUGUUGUGGUUUUGUCUGAGUAUUCUUCGGGGAUUUACAUGAAAACAAAAGCGGAGAUAAGAAAAUGACUUUCGAGCGUUAGUUUAGUUUUAAUCUAGCCUCCAGUGAAUCAACCGAAGUUUACUUUGAAGAUUUUAAAUACUGUAGUUUAUAAUGGAGGUGCUAGCCAAGGGUAUUAUGAUAAGCGCAGCGGUGGUGGUGGCUGCGGUAGCAGCAGUAGUUCAGUGGUGGCAGAUAAGGCAGGUGCCGGCUCGGUACUCCACUCAUGGCGAGCGGCCUAGGCGAGAUUGAGAUGAGCUUCCUGCACAAAGUAUUUACUCACAUCACAGCAAUAAUAAUGCGAUAUUAUUAGUUUUAAUAGAAAUUAAUAUUAUUUAUCGCCAGUUACGUUAUUAUUUAAGAUUGGUUUAUUUAAUAAAAUAGUUAUUUGAAUAAA